GAAACAACUCGAAUUUUUAUUUUCAAAGAUUUUCCAAUUAAAUUUAAUAAACCGACAGCUUGGAAAUUUAUUUUAAUAUUUUAAUGUGAACUCUGUGGGAAACCGAACCAAAAAUCGAUUGAAAAACCCGUAAACCAAUUGGAAACCGAAGAUUUGGGCCGAACCGAACCGAAUCGAACCGGUUGGACCCAAACCAUCUAGAAUUUUCUUUUUUCCUCUAUUUCUAGCGCACACCUCACUCCCCUCCCCCGUUUUUUUUCUGCGCUUCUUGACCACCAGCGACACCACCUCCGACCACCACUCCUCCUCCACCUCCUCUUUUCUUCUUCUUCUUUUUCUUCUUCUUCCUUUCUUUCUUUUCUUUCCUUUCCUUUUCUUUUCCUUUCUUUCUUUCUUCUUCCCUACUGUUGUGCUGCGCCUGCAAGUUGGAGCAGAUCGACCACCGCACACUACUGCUGUAGCUCACUGCUGCAAGUCGCACCUUCACAGAGCAGCUCCACGUCGCGCCAGCAAGCCCAGAUCGCGACUGCUGCUCCUCUGUCGCGCCUACAGCAGCGCCACAGCCCUGUCAAGGCGCUACUGCCACUGCCGCCGCCCCCGCGCGCCGAUCGGUN
rnacentral:lncRNA from 1 species